rnacentral:rRNA from 1 species
AUUGAACGCUGGCGGCAGGCCUAACACAUGCAAGUCGAGCGGAGCGGCGGACGGGUGCGUAUUGCCUAGGAAUCUGCCUGGUAGUGGGGGAUACCGUCCGGCAACGGGCGCUAAUACCGCAUACUAUCAGAUGAGCCUAGGUCGGAUUAGCUAGUUGGUGGGGUAAAGGCCUACCAAGGCGACGAUCCGUAACUGGUCUGAGAGGAUGAUCAGUCACACUGGAACUGAGACACGGUCCAGAAUCCUACGGUAGGCAGCAGUGGGGAUUAUUGGGCAAUGGGCGAAAGCCUGAUCCAGCCAUGCCGCGUGGGUGAAGAAGGUGUUGGGAUGGUAAAGAACUUUGAGUAGGGAGGCGGUACCAAAAGAAUAAGCACCGGCUAACUUCGUGCCCGCAGCCGCGGUAAUUC